UACAGCCACACCACCUUGAACGUGCCCUACCUGGUCUGAUCUGGGAAGCUAAGCAGAGUUAGGUCCCGUUAGUACUUGCACGGGAGAAACUAUAA
rnacentral:rRNA from 1 species